GGUGGAGUGAUUUGUCUGGUUAAUUCCGAUAACGAACGAGACUCUGUCCUGCUAAAUAGUUUCAACGUCUUUUACGCGUUGAAAUUUCUUCUUAGAGGGACUGGCGGCGUCUAGCCGCACGAGAUUGAGCAAUAACAGGUCUGUGAUGCCCUUAGAUGUUCUGGGCUGCACGCGCGCUACACUGAAGGGCUCAGCGUGUUUUCCCUUUUCGAGAGAAACGGGUAACCCGCUGAAUUCCCUUCGUGGUAGGGAUCGGGGCUUGCAAUUAUUCCCCGUGAACCAGGAAUUCCCAGUAAGCGCAAGUCAUAAGCUUGCGUUGAUUAC
rnacentral:rRNA from 1 species